AGUGAACGCUGGCGGUAGGCCUAACACAUGCAAGUCGAACGGCAGCACAGUAAGAGCUUGCUCUUACGGGUGGCGAGUGGCGGACGGGUGAGGAAUACAUCGGAAUCUACUUUUUCGUGGGGGAUAACGUAGGGAAACUUACGCUAAUACCGCAUACGACCUACGGGUGAAAGCAGGGGAUCUUCGGACCUUGCGCGAUUGAAUGAGCCGAUGUCGGAUUAGCUAGUUGGCGGGGUAAGGGCCCACCAAGGCGACGAUCCGUAGCUGGUCUGAGAGGAUGAUCAGCCACACUGGAACUGAGACACGGUCCAGACCCCUACGGGAGGCAGCGGUGGGGAAUAUUGGACAAUGGGCGCAAGCCGGAUCCAGCCAUACCGCGUGGGGGAAGAAGGCCUUCGGGUUGUAAAGCCCUUUUGUUGGGAAAGAAAAGCAGCAGGUUAAUACCCCGCUGUUCUGACGGUACCCAAAGAAUAAGCACCGGCUAACUUCGUG
rnacentral:rRNA from 1 species